rnacentral:misc_RNA from 1 species
GUUUGGGACUCUCAUAAGUUUUCCACCACAUUGUUGCCUAGGUUUUUCAAGCACAGCAAUUUUUCCAGUUUCAUUCGGCAGCUUAACACAUAUGGAUUUAGAAAGGUGGAUCCUGACAGAUGGGAAUUUGCGAAUGGAGGUUUUCUGGGAGGGCAAAAGCAUCUUUUGAAGACGAUAAAGAGGAGGAGGAAUGUUGGUCAGAGUAUGAAUCAACAAGGAUCUGGUGCUUGCAUUGAAAUUGGUUAUUAUGGGAUGGAGGAGGAGCUAGAAAGAUUAAAGCGGGAUAAAAACGUGUUGAUGACUGAAAUAGUUAAACUUAGGCAGCAACAGCAGAGUACGAGGAAUCAUAUCAUUGCCAUGGGAGAAAAAAUCGAAACACAGGAGAGGAAACAAGUGCAGAUGAUGAGUUUCUUAGCAAAGAUUUUCAGCAAUCCAACUUUUCUCCAGCAGUACUUGGACAAACAUGUGCACAGAAAAGAUAAACAACGUAUCGAAGUUGGACAAAAGAGGAGACUAACGAUGACCCCCAGUGCUACAGGAAGUGAUCAGCCUAUGAAUUACUCCUCAUCACACCAAGAGAGUGAAGCUGAGCUUGCAAGUAUUGAAAUGUUAUUCUCUGCUGCAAUGGACAAUGAAUCAAGCAGCAAUGUCAGGCCGGAUUCUGUUGUGACAGCAAAUGGAACUGAUAUGGAACCAGUGGCUGAUGAUAUUUGGGAAGAGUUGCUCAGUGAAGAUCUUAUAUCCGGGGAUCGAGCAGCAGAGGAAGUAGUGGUUGUUGAACAACCUGAAUUCGACGUGGAAGUUGAAGAUCUUGUUGUGAAAACACCUGAAUGGGGUGAGGAAUUACAAGACCUUGUGGAUCAGCUUGGUUUCCUUUAGAGGUUAAGAUGCAGAUAUACUACUUUCUUUCAUUUCAGGAAGCUUUGAGGCGGUCUCUAGUAGCGCAUGUUUACAAAACCAUACAAUUGACAAUGGUGUGUAGCUUAAUUAUCUGGUGCUCAUAAACUUUUUAGGGGUUGUUUAAAUAUGCAGAGGUUAGGGGCUUGGAUGUAUGGAUCUCUAUGGUGGAGAACGAAAGAGAGGAGAGGAUAGAGUAUACAAGAGAUUUUAUAUUAGAUAGAUUGAGAAGAAAAGCAUCAACAUGGACUCGGCUUUCCUCAACCAACACCAGUUCCUUUAUACAACAUUGUGUCCACUUACCAAAUCAGUGUAUUUUAUCACAGUUGAAGGAUGGUAUUUUUACUUCUUUACUGGUGUUCUUCCCAACAGUUCAAGCUGGUUUACUCCAGAACAAUCCAUGACAGUGAUAGAGCAUCAUGCAUCAGAUAAAAUGAUGCAAAUAUAAUCAGAACAAUAGUAAGCAUGAGGUCUGACUUUAGGGUGGAGACAAAAGUUGAAAAGUGGGAAUCCUAAUCACAGAGUCAUGUCCGAAUAUUAUUCAUCUCUUCUGGCAAAGCAUCAAACAUGUAAUAGGACAAAUCGAACCGACAUAAAAUAGUAACCCAGUAUUGAAUCAACAUUUCCUGUGACAAUUA